UCAACAGCCCUUGAACUCCUUGGUCACUUGGGAUGUUUUAUAAAAAUCCAGCCCUAUGUAUUAGUUAGUAUCUUGAAAGUACAGAGUGUGUUUGAUGACUGACUCACAAGGAUUUCUCAGGCAUUCUGGAAAAUGUCAGUGUUAAUCUUCUUAUCUUUUCUUCAUUUUUCCCCACAAACCUGAUACAAUUUGACAU